rnacentral:rRNA from 1 species
UGGGGAAUAUUGCACAAUGGGCGCAAGCCUGAUGCAGCCAUGCCGCGUGUAUGAAGAAGGCCUUCGGGUUGUAAAGUACUUUCAGCGGGGAGGAAGGUGUUGAGGUUAAUAACCUCAGCAAUUGACGUUACCCGCAGAAGAAGCACCGGCUAACUCCGUGCCAGCAGCCGCGGUAAUACGGAGGGUGCAAGCGUUAAUCGGAAUUACUGGGCGUAAAGCGCACGCAGGCGGUCUGUCAAGUCGGAUGUGAAAUCCCCGGGCUCAACCUGGGAACUGCAUUCGAAACUGGCAGGCUAGAGUCUUGUAGAGGGGGGUAGAAUUCCAGGUGUAGCGGUGAAAUGCGUAGAGAUCUGGGGGAAUACCGGUGGCGAAGGCGGCCCCCUGGACAAAGACUGACGCUCAGGUGCGAAAGCGUGGGGAGCAAACA